AACGAACGCUGGCGGCAGGCUUAACACAUGCAAGUCGAACGACCGGAGCAAUCCGGGAGUGGCGAACGGGUGAGUAACACGUGGGAACCUGCCCAGCGGUGGGGAACAACCGAGGGAAACUUCGGCUAAUACCGCAUACGCCCUUACGGGGAAAGAUUUAUCGCCGUUGGAGGGGCCCGCGUCCGAUUAGCUAGUUGGUGAGGUAACGGCUCACCAAGGCGACGAUCGGUAACUGGUCUGAGAGGACGACCAGUCACACUGGGACUGAGACACGGCCCAGACUCCUACGGGAGGCAGCAGUAGGGAAUAUUGGACAAUGGGGGAAACCCUGAUCCAGCAAUGCCGCGUGAGUGAUGAAGGCCUUAGGGUUGUAAAGCUCUUUCGCCCACGACGAUGAUGACGGUAGUGGGAGAAGAAGCCCCGGCUAACUUCGUGCCAGCCGCCGCCGUAA
rnacentral:rRNA from 1 species